AUACGGAGGAUCCGAGCGUUAUCCGGAUUUAUUGGGUUUAAAGGGUGCGCAGGCGGCCAUUUAAGUCAGCGGUUAAAUCGCGGGGCUCAACCCCAUUCUGCCGUUGAUACUGGGUGGCUUGAUUGCGGUCGAGGUUGGCGGAAUUCGUUGUGUAGCGGUGAAAUGCAUAGAUAUGACGAAGAACACCGAUUGCGUAGGCAGCUGACCAGACCGCAAAUGACGCUCAUGCACGAAAGGGCGGGGAUCGAGCAGGAUUAGAUGCCCUGGUAGUCCGCACAGUAAACGAUGAAUACUUGUUUUCGGCGAUAUAAUGUCGGAGGCAAAGCGAAAGCGAUAAGUAUUCCACCUGGGGAGUACGCCGGCAACGGUGAAACUCAAAGGAAUUGACGGGG
rnacentral:rRNA from 1 species